UCCUGACAUUAAUAAGUUUAAGAGCCGCGGUAUACUGACCGUGCAAAGGUAGCAUAAUCAUUAGUUUUUUAAUUGAAAACUUGUAUGAAGGGUUUGACAAAAGAAAUACUGUCUUUAUUUUAAAUAUUGAAUUUAACUUUUAAGUGAGAAGGCUUAAAUUUUUUGGGGGGACGAUAAGACCCUAUAAAGCUUUAUUUAUUGUUUAAAAUUUAUUAAAAUAAUAAUUUAAAAAUGUAUUUUAGAUAAUUUAUUUUGUUGGGGCGACAGAGAUAUAAUUUAAAUAACUGUUUAAGAUUCAAACAGCUAUGAUUGGAUAAAGUAAAUGAUCCUUGUUAAAGAUUAAAAGACCAAGUUACUUUAGGGAUAACAGCGUAAUUUUCUUUGAGAGUUCCUAUCGAAAAGAAAGUUUGCGACCUCGAUGUUGAAUUAAAAGAUCUUUAUUGUGCAGCAGCUAUAAGAGAAGGUCUGUUCGACCUUUAAUUUUUUACAUGAUUUGAGUUCAGAUCGGCGUGAGCCAGGUUG
rnacentral:rRNA from 1 species